rnacentral:rRNA from 1 species
AGAAAGCCCCGGCUAACUACGUGCCAGCAGCCGCGGUAAUACGUAGGGGGCAAGCGUUGUCCGGAAUUAUUGGGCGUAAAGGGCGCGUAGGCGGUUUCUUAAGUCUGAUGUGAAAGCCCACAGCUUAACUGUGGAGGGUCAUUGGAAACUGGGGAACUUGAGUGCAGAAGAGGAGAGUGGAAUUCCACGUGUAGCGGUGAAAUGCGUAGAUAUGUGGAGGAACACCAGUGGCGAAGGCGACUCUCUGGUCUGUAACUGACGCUGAGGCG